AUCAGCAUGGUGUAGUGGUAUGAGCACUGGACUACAACUUUAGAGAUCGGGGUUCGAUUCCCCAUUCAGCCA